rnacentral:tRNA from 1 species
GCGGGUGUAGCUCAGGGGUAGAGCACAACCUUGCCAAGGUUGGGGUCGUGGGUUCAAAUCCCAUCGCCCGCUCCA